GAUCCUGGCUCAGGAUGAACGCUAGCUACAGGCUUAACACAUGCAAGUCGAGGGGCAGCAUGUCGGUUGCUUGCAACCGAUGAUGGCGACCGGCGCACGGGUGAGUAACGCGUAUCCAACCUACCCUUGUCCAUCGGAUAACCCGUCGAAAGGCGGCCUAACACGAUAUGCGGUUCACAGCAGGCAUACGUAAGGUAGAACGAAAUGUAGAAGGAGAG
rnacentral:rRNA from 1 species